UACGUAGGGCGCAAGCGUUGUCCGGAAUUAUUGGGCGUAAAGGGCUCGUAGGCGGCGUGUCGCGUCGGGAGUGAAAGCCCGUUGCUUAACGGCGGGUUGGCUUUCGGUACGGGCAGUGCUGGAGUGCGGCAGGGGAGACUGGAAUUCCUGGUGUAGCGGUGGAAUGCGCAGAUAUCAGGAGGAACACCGGUGGCGAAGGCGGGUCUCUGGGCCGUUACUGACGCUGAGGAGCGAAAGCGUGGGGAGCGAACAGG
rnacentral:rRNA from 1 species